UGGAAAAUGGAAGGGAAACCGAAGGGGCGCAUGCGCACAAAGAACAUUUUUUGAAUGAAGCCAAUUGAUUGGCUGAGGGAUCGAAGGGAACCAAAGGAAUAGGUAAGUUUCUUCUCUUACUUUUGUCUCUCUUUUCUUUCUCUUCCAUUUUUUUUACCUUUCUUCUUUUCUCUUUUUCCCCUCACUUACCUUUCUUAAUAAUAUUUUUUUUUCUUUUUCUUUCUUUGCCUUUUCUUGUUCAUCAUCUUCUUUAUCUUCAUCUUUUCUCUUCUUGUACCAAGAGCCGGUCUUUUGGUCUUAAGAAAAACGGGUAACAGCAACACAACAACAACCUUUUUGGAGUGAAAGAGAAAAAGAGAGAAAGAAGAAGAAGAAGAAGAUGAGGAUGAUGGUGAAGAAAAAAAGAUGCUGGUGAGUUGAAGAAAAGUAAAGAAACUUAAAAGCAAACAGGUAAGAAGAUGAAGAUUAAAUUAACAAGCCGAUGGCACCCGCUCUCUCUUUUUUCUCUUUCUUUUCUCUCUCUCUCUUUCAGUUUCUAUGUUUCUUUUAAAUUUUUACUUUUUUCUCUUGUGUUGUAAACACAAUUUCUAUUUAUCCAUGGAAAGUAAAGGUAGGUGGAUGGUUUCCAUGGCCUUAGAACAUUUUCUCGGAAUGGAGUUUGUUUUUCUUGUCUCUCCAUCUACAUCUGUCUCCAUCAAGUCACCUUAUAAGGUCAUGUCAACGGUUUUCGGAUCCACUUCAACCUCCAAAUCAAUUGAUUACAUAUGAAAAAGUGUCUAUUUAAUCUGCUUCUUGUCAUUGGCUUCAGCUAAAUCAUUUUUACACCAACAUCAUCAUCAUCUCUCUCUCUCUUUAAAAUUUCUCUUCUCCCUCCUCCCUUUUACAGCUCAUACAACAACCACAUUUUUACCUGAUCAGGUUUCCUUUUGGAUUACACAGUUCAACAACAACAGCCCAAGGAAAUUAGUGAACAUAAGCUGUGGAUGUUAAUAUGCAAAUUAGAUAUUAGUCAUUUGCCCCUUUUUUCUGCUUGCAAUUAACGUUAUCAUAAAUUUCACGGAAAACGAUCCGUAAACAGAAAAGUUUUUCCAGUAUAUUUUCUGACCUUUUCUGCCCUUUCCGUUUGACCUUAAUUAAUACAAAAUAAGUCAAAGCAAGAAAGGAGGUAAUCUAAAAUUCAAGAAAAUGAAACAGCAUAAGUGUUGAUGAUUAAUUGGUGGGCCAUAAACACUUAUAAACACCAGAAUAUAACCAAAAAGGAAAAAGUUAAUGACCACAACAAAGUGACCAAAGAGAGAGAGAGAGGAUGAGUUGCUAAUCUGAGAUUCGAUUUUUGUUUUCUCAUGAAAACAGUUUCUCUUUAACGUCCAUGAUUAAUUAUUCACAUAAGAAAUUAAACUUUGAACCUGAUUAAAUUUUAUUGUUUACAGGUCAAAGUUUAUAUUUUCAAAGUGUUUCCAGUUAAUUAGUUUCAAUUGUAUAACAAGAGAAACAACAAUUAACUUAACUAUUAGAAAACAAAAGAUCCAAUGGUUAAUCAUUUCAAGUGAAAAACGAAAUCAUUAGAAAAGUUAAUCACUCUGAUCUUUGAUUGUUGAUGUAAAAAAAUCUCCAAUUUUGUUUUGAUUAUCAUCUCAAUAAUUAGGAGUAAUUUAAUUGCUUAGUGUUGACAGAAACAGUUAUCAGUUAACAAUCAAUUUAAAUACUCAUCCCAAUCAAUGUCAAUUAUUUGGCAUCGAUUAACAUUAACUAGUUUUCACUUAAUUUGUUAAUUUGGUUAAACAUUAAAUUGUUUGACUGGUAAUCAAUCAGUUUUGAUUAUUUGUUUUGUUUCAACGCUAAUCAAGUGAAGUUAAUUAACAUUUAAAACUUGGUAAAAUUAAAUAUCUUCACUUGAAUUUUGAUUAAUCAAAAACUAAUCAAUAACAAUUUAGUUCACCUUUUCUUAAACUUUUCUAACUUUCUCAUCAAACUAAUCAACAACUUUUCCAAAACUAAAUCAACAACAAUUUAAAUGAUCAACAAAGAGGAUCUUUGUGUAUUUCCUGAUUGAUUGACAAUUAAAUUAAACAAUAACAACAAUUGAUAAUAGCAAUUGAAAUAAUCAAAUCCGUUUACCCUUGAAAACUGAUAAUGAAUAAAAAACAAUAUUAGUUGAAACCAAUCAUGUUAAACUUAAAUUGUCGUUAAUUGUUGUUGUUGUUUUCCAAUGUUAAUAAUAUUCAAUGAGAAAAAAUAAUCAUCACAAUUAAUUGUAUUGAAUAAAUUUUUCUCAUUCUUUUCUUAUUUCUUAUCCUUUAAUCUA